UGGGAGAUAUUGCACAAUGGCGCAAGCCUGAUGCAGCCAUGCCGCGUGUGUGAAGAAGGCCUCGGUUGUAAAGCACUUUCAGCGAGGAGGAAGGUGGUGAGCCUAAUACGCUCAUCAAUUGACGUUACUCGCAGAAGAAGCACCGGCUAACUCCGUGCCAGCAGCCGCGGUAAUACGGAGGGUGCAAGCGUUAAUCGGAAUUACUGGGCGUAAAGCGCACGCAGGCGGUUUGUUAAGUCAGAUGUGAAAUCCCGCC
rnacentral:rRNA from 1 species